rnacentral:rRNA from 1 species
GAUGAACGCUGGCGGCGUGCCUAAUACAUGCAAGUCGAGCGAACGGACGAGAAGCUUGCUUCUCUGAUGUUAGCGGCGGACGGGUGAGUAACACGUGGAUAACCUACCUAUAAGACUGGGAUAACUUCGGGAAACCGUAGCUAAUACCGGAUAAUAUUUUGAACCGCAUGGUUCAAAAGUGAAAGACGGUCUUGCUGUCACUUAUAGAUGGAUCCGCGCUGCAUUAGCUAGUUGGUAAGGUAACGGCUUACCAAGGCAACGAUGCAUAGCCGACCUGAGAGGGUGAUCGGCCACACUGGAACUGUGACACGGUCCAGACUCCUACGGGAGGCAGCAGUAGGGAAUCUUCCGCAAUGGGCGAAAGCCUGACGGAGCAACGCCGCGUGAGUGAUGAAGGUCUUCGGAUCGUAAAACUCUGUUAUUAGGGAAGAACAUACGUGUAAGUAACUGUGCACAUCUUGACGGUACCUAAUCAGAAAGCCACGGCUAACUACGUG